rnacentral:rRNA from 14 species
UAUGUCUGUCACAUGACACUGAACAACCCUGAUAUUGUCUGAUCAUCAGAACUAAGCAGUCAGACUUGGUUUGUACUUGGAUGGGGGAGAUAGAGAGAGUAUAUUUAGACACAA